GGGGAUACAGCUCCAUGGUAGAGCACAUGCUUAGCAUGUACAAGGUCCUGGGUUCAAUCCCCAGUACCUCCA
rnacentral:tRNA from 1 species